rnacentral:lncRNA from 1 species
UUCCACCCCCGUGACCCCCUGGCGUCCUCUCCACCACCGCAGCCCAACUGCUACGCCAAGGUGAUCACCAUCGAGGCGCAGAAGAAGAUCGUCAUCUACUCGAAGCAGCCCAUCGGGGUCAACGAGGAGAUCACCUACGACUACAAGUUCCCCAUCGAGGACACCAAAAUCCCCUGCCUGUGCCGCACCGAGAGCUGCCGCGGCACGCUCAACUAGGCCACCGCGUGGUGGGCCCGGUGGUGGGCCUGGUGGUGGGCCUGGUGGUGGGCCUGGUGGUGGGCCUUCUGGUGGGCCUUCUGGUGGGCCUGGUGGUGGGCCUUCUGGUGGGCCUGGUGGUGGGCCUGAUGGUGGGCCUGAUGGUGGGCCUUCUGGUGGGCCUGGUGGUGGGCCUUCUGGUGGGCCUUCUGGUGGGCCUGGUGGUGGGCCUUCUGGUGGGCGAGGAGGCAGCGGCGUUGGGGAGAAGUCAACGUGGUUGGCAAGAGGUCAACGUGGUGGUGUUGGGUCAUCAUCGUUGGCAAGAGGUCAUCAAUGUCUUUGGCAAGAGGUCGUCGUGGUCAUCACCAUGGUCAUCACCAUGGUUGGCAAGAGGUCAUCGUUGUUGGUGCUGGGUCAUCGGCGUUGGCAAGAGGUCACCGUGGUCAUCACCAUGGUUAGCAAGAGGUCAACAAUGUUGGUGAGAAGUCAAUGUGGUUGGCAUGGUGUCAUCACCAUGGUUGGCAAGAGGUCAUCGUUGUUGGUGUUGGGUCAUCGGUGUUGGCAAGAGGUCAUCGUGGUCAUCACCAUGGUUGGCAAGAGGUCAACGAUGUUGGUGAGAAGUCAACGUGGUUGGCAAGAGGCAAGAGGUCAUCGUGGUUGGUGUUGGGUC